CUCAAGUUCGGGAGGCGUUACCUGCGGAGGGUUUGAGGCAGGUCCAGGAGCGAGCCCACGGUCUGCCGACGCGGGGCCAGGGGCGGGCCCCAGGAUCCGGAGCUUCGGGCGGGGCCGAGUCCGGGUUUGGGGCCCGGGAGGCGGGGCCAGUUAGAGCGAGGGUCCCUGGGAUCGUCAGGUCAGGCCUUGGGCUAACGUAGGCACUCGCAGUUCCUCCGCCUUCAGGAAGGUCUUUUUAGCAGGGGCCUUACGGGUGCGCGCUUCGGUCCUGGAGGCCUUAUCCUAGCCUCCUCUCUCCAUCAGCGCCACCCGUCUGGGGCCCAAAAGGAGGGAGCUUUACCUCUGUCCCCCAGCCUUUGGAGUGUCACCAAACAAGCCAUUCGUUCACCAAAUACUUAUUAAGUGCCUGACAACGGAGAUGUAACGAAAUUGCCUGUUUGCUCCACUCUGGUUGAAGAAACCAGUCUGACUGUCUCUGAGGCUAUGGAGCAGUCCAUCAAGAAUGAAAGCCCUCUGCCAGGCACGUUGGCUCACACCUGUAAUACCAGCACUUUGGGAGGCCGAGGCAGGUGGAUCACUUGAGGUCAGGAGUUCGACACCAGCAUGGCCAACAUGGUGAAACCCUGUCUCUACAGAAAAUAAUACUUUGCAAGGCCUCAGAAACUCUGCUAUCCACAGGCAGGUAGAAGUUGCUGGUCCCAUCUUGCUCACAAUCCUCCAAAGUUUGGAAGUUACUUUCCAGGAGACUUAGCUUGCACUGAGAGCUGCCCUCCCACCCUCUCUCCAAAUUUCCUCUUGGGAGUAGCCUAACAAGGUGCUGUCACAGACCCUUGCCAGCCACGAUGACCCCACCCAGACCAUCCCUCUGCUGUUUCACUCUUUGAUACUCUCUGGAGCUCUCUGGGGAGGGGUGAGACCUGCUGUCUGCUUUGUACUGUUUGCCCAGGUCUUACAGUCAUGGCUGGCUCCUCUCUCUGAGAACUGGGACUCCUGAACUUGGUGAAAUACCUCAGCCAUCGAUCAUGUUAAAUUAUCGGGGACACUCAUUAAAAAUGUGAGUCUGCUCCAGAUGGACUCUCUCUCUUUCUGCCCUGACCGUGAGGGAGACCGUGAGAGAGAGAGACCGUGAGAGAGAGAAACCGUGAGAGAGACCAUCAGAGAGAGAAAGAGAGACCGUGCCCUGACCUGCUGGACAGUGGAGAUGCUUGUGGGCUGUGAGCAACAGAUGCAAGGGCUGCCGGGAAUCCCAUCUUUCCAGCAUCAUCUGCCAAGGCACAUCAGUUCCUGGGUGUCUUGAUGGGUUCUGGCAGCAUUACUGUCAUUGAAGGAAAACAUUUUAGCCAUAUUAAAGGUGAACUCAGCAAUCCCCACACAGCCUGCCUGGAAGGGACGCGGGACAAGGGUAGGUUCUCCCUGUGAUGGACAGGAGGCAGGCGACCCUCCCACAGCCCUACCUGGCAAUGCAGAUGUGUCCCCAAAAGGCACUGGGGGCAGCUGGAGUGCUGUGCCUAGGCGGGCUCACCCGGGCAGCGGUUCGCUCUGAUUGCAGUGGUUUCCCACCAGCUCCUUGGAGAGCUGGCAGAUGACCCAGCCCCACAGCAGGAGCCGGGAAUGGCAGAACGAGAUACAACAAUUUGAUAUCCACUUGCCAGAUGAGCCGGGUGUCCUCAGUCGCCUGGCUCUGUGCCCAACCUCUUUUUACAUAAACACUUAUGAAUUGAGCCAGGAGGAAAAGCACUCUGAUUAUGAAUUGAGCAGAAGGAAACAAAGUUCUGCAGAUAAACACCAAUGAAACAAAAAACCACGAAUAAGAAAAAUGACAGAAAAGGAGAACCUUCCCAGAAGCCUCCUGCCAGUGAACGGUCACCAGAGCAAGAGCAUGGAGGCCCUGGGUUUUGAACUGUGAGAUAAGGAAGAUGAUGAAAACCUCCCUAGCAGCCAGGCAAGCACAAGAUUCCUGUGAAAUCCAGGUCUAAGUGUUUUGACAACAGAAGUAAUAUUAUGUCAUAGGUGAGAGCUGUGAGUUGCUGAACCCAAAGUGAGUUCAAAUCCGAGCUCUGCCUCCUGCUACCUGUGUGACUUUGAGAAGUUCCAGCACUGCUUUGUGCCUCAGUUUUGUCAUCUGUUAAAUGGGCGUAAUCACAGCUCCUGCCUCAGAGUUGUUGUAAAUUAAUACAUGUAAAGCACUGAAAUCAGCCUGGUAUA
rnacentral:lncRNA from 1 species